UUUGGUUUGCACAGCUUCGCUUUUCUCUGCAGAAUGUGUUUUUCCUCUCUGGUUGUUUUUAGGAAUUUGUCAGUCAGGAGCUGUCACCGUGUCCUCAAGAUGGGCUCGCUAUGUCUUUUGUUCCAUCUUCAUCAGCGCCUCCUUUCCUGGCACCAGGUUUGUGUCCUGAAUGCAUCACCUUCUCUUCAUCUCCUCUGCUGCCGCCUACUUCCAGAUUCGGAUCUUCACCAUCCCAGGAGUCUUAGCGCGUCCACUAGCUAGGGAAGCUUCCGGUUCCCUAUAUUCAAUUCUCUGCUCUAUAGACUCAGAAUAUUUCUUUCUUUCUGGCUGAGCCCUUUCCCACACCGACGUAUCUCAAAUUGUAGAUUGUCGUGUUGGAUGUGUAGUUCAGUAGUGGGACAUUUGCCUAGGAUGUGUGAGACCGUGGGUUCAAUCCCUAGCACUGCCUCCCCACUCCCCCACCCCCACAAAUGUAAGUUAUUGUGAUUGUUAAUGCCAGCUUGACAGAGUCUAGAAUCACGUGGGAGAUGGGCCGUGGGGCAUGCCUGUGGGGAAUUAUCUUGAUGAUGUACACUGAUGUAGAAAGCUCAUCCUAAUUGUGUGUGGGACUAUUCCCUAGGUAGGACAUCCUAAACUAUGUAGAUUACAGCCAUGCAUUCA